rnacentral:rRNA from 1 species
CUACGGGAGGCUGCAGGGAAUCUUCCGCAAUGGGCGAAAGCCUGACGGAGCAACACCGCGUGAUCGAUGAAGGGUUUUUGCUCGUAAAGAUCUUUUCUGAGGGAAUAAUUUUGAAGGUACCUCAGGAAUAAGCACCGGCUAACUCCGUGCCAGCAGCCGCGGUAAUACGGAGGGUGCAAGCGUUAUCCGGAAUCAUUGGGCGUAAAGCGUUCCAAGGCGGUUUAUUAAGUCGAAUGUAAAAGAUCACAGCUCAACUGUGGGAAUACGUUCGAAACUGGUAGACUAGAGACUUGUAGAGGCAUGUGGAAUUCUGUGUGUAGGGGUAAAAUCCGUAGAUACACAGAGGAACACCAAAAGCGAAGGCAGCAUGCUAGGCAAGUUCUGACGCUCACGGACGAAAGCGUGGGGAGCAAACAGGAUUAGAUACCCCUGUAGUC